UGCGACCCCAGGUCAGACGGGGCUACCCGCUGAGUUUAAGCAUAUCAAUAAGCGGGAGA
rnacentral:rRNA from 1 species